rnacentral:rRNA from 1 species
GCCCUAACACAUGCAAGUCGAGCGGUAGCACAGAGAGCUUGCUCUCGGGUGACGAGCGGCGGACGGGUGAGUAAUGUCUGGGAAACUGCCUGAUGGAGGGGGAUAACUACUGGAAACGGUAGCUAAUACCGCAUAAUGUCGCAAGACCAAAGUGGGGGACCUUCGGGCCUCAUGCCAUCAGAUGUGCCCAGAUGGGAUUAGCUAGUAGGUGGGGUAACGGCUCACCUAGGCGACGAUCCCUAGCUGGUCUGAGAGGAUGACCAGCCACACUGGAACUGAGACACGGUCCAGACUCCUACGGGAGGCAGCAGUGGGGAAUAUUGCACAAUGGGCGCAAGCCUGAUGCAGCCAUGCCGCGUGUAUGAAGAAGGCCUUCGGGUUGUAAAGUACUUUCAGCGGGGAGGAAGGCGAUAAGGUUAAUAACCUUGUCGAUUGACGUUACCCGCAGAAGAAGCACCGGCUAACUCCGUGCCAGCAGCCGCGGUAAUACGGAGGGUGCAAGCGUUAAUCGGAAUUACUGGGCGUAAAGCGCACGCAGGCGGUCUGUCAAGUCGGAUGUGAAAUCCCCGGGCUCAACCUGGGAACUGCAUUCGAAACUGGCAGGCUAGAGUCUUGUAGAGGGGGGUAGAAUUCCAGGUGUAGCGGUGAAAUGCGUAGAGAUCUGGAGGAAUACCGGUGGCGAAGGCGGCCCCCUGGACAAAGACUGACGCUCAGGUGCGAAAGCGUGGGGAGCAAACAGGAUUAGAUACCCUGGUAGUCCACGCCGUAACGAUGUCGAUUUGAGGUUGUGCCCUUGAGCGUGGCUUCCGGAGCUAACGCGUUAAAUCGACCGCUGGGAGUACGGCCGCAAGGUUAAACUCAAAUGAAUGACGGGGCCGCCAAAGCGUGGGAGCAUGUGCUAAUCGAAUGCAACGCGAUGACUACUGACUGACUCCCAUGAACCUUGACCAAUGAAACUGCGCAGUUCUGUAG